rnacentral:lncRNA from 1 species
AGAUCUUAGACUUAAGAAUAACACCAAAAUUGAAAUGGUUAACUUUGUGCAAAUGAAUGAGUGUAAGAAUUGUUUGAGAAGAGGCACAGAUAGAUAUAUAGAUACGCAGAGUCACAAUGAUUAUAAUAAAAUUUUAAAAAGAUUAAAAGAUGCAUGAAUUUUGUAUAUUUUCAGGAUAGAGUAGAUACGAACUCAGAAAUGCUCAAAUUAUAUCAAUAACAAUAAAAAUAAUAUGAAGUUAUUUUACUGAAUCAAAUAUGAUAUCUCAAUUAUAAAUAAACUUUUAAAUUUUUAAAUUGAAACUCCUAUGUUCUAAAUGGUAAUUUCAUAUUAAACUACAUAAACCAACUUAUAUUUGUAUCAAUAAAUAAAUUAAAAAUCAAUGUGCUCCCAAUUAUAGAAAAUAUUAAUGAGUGUGUCAUUAAGUAAGUUAUUUCUAUUGUGUUUAAAUUAGAAGUUAAAAUGCAUCAUAUCAUGUAAAACGAAAAUUUAUUAGAUAUAUUUAUUUCAUACUAAUUUCAGGGAUGAUGGUACUUAUACAACAAAACUAAAAUGAAUCAAGUUUAUUUAUAGUUUUUUGUAAUCUAUUCCAAAUUUUAAAUCCAAGUUCUAUGAUUGUUUUGACUAUUCCUUGUAUUAAGAUUGCUUGAGACUUAUUUUUCAUAAGCAUAUAUAGAAUAAAUAAAUAAAUAAAUAAUCCAUGGGAAUGAUGAUAAUGAUCAUGUCACUCUAUUUGCUGUUUUGUAUCAUGAGUGCUUUACAACAUAUCAACUCAAAAUAACCAAUCAUUUUUCUAUCAAGGGCUUGUUUCAAAAAUAUAUAAUGAUGCUUAAAAGAAAACAAUGUCUAAACAUUGCUGUAUUGUUGUAUUUUAACAUUAUCUCAAUACCAAGGCACUGUAGCAGUUUCACUCAAAUUCAAUUGAAUUAAAACUUAUACAUCAAAAAAUCACAUUCAACCAAAGUUGAUCAAUUUUAAACCUAUGUUAUUCAAAAGAUUAAAUUUUUAUUUCUUUCUUUGUUUAUAUUACAAGAAAAGAAGAAGAAUAUAUAUAUAUAUAUAUAUAUAUAUAUACAUAUAUAUCAAACUAUCAUGAUGCUAAACUUCAACUAAUGUUCCAUGGUAUCUUGCAGGAUAUUAUAUAACAUAGUAUGGAUAAUGUUGUGUUGGUAGCUAACCUGUCACAAAUGCAACAUCAUUCUAGCUGGACCAGUCACAGUUUAAAACACAACUGAGAAAACUAUCAAACCAACAAACAAAAAACAAUAACAAAACAUAGUACAAUUCCCUUAUUUAGCUGAACAAGUCUGUUGGUCUCUUGUCCCAUAAAUUUCAUGUCAUUGUGUAAACCUUAACCUGCAUCACAACCUCUGGAACUGUAACGGCCCACCAGUACAUGACUAAGUGACCUCUCUCUCUCUCUCGAACUCUCUCUUUUGUCUAGAUAUGUGUCUGUAUGUAUGUAUGUAUAUAGAUAUAUAUAUAUAUAUAUAAGCCUGAUGGCUAUUACCCUUUCAUGAUUGGUACCAUGUUCAUAGCUCCUAUUCCCAGGAAUUAUUUAGGUGUGGUGAACAAUUGGCUGCAAGCAAGCAAGGCUUGAGCACACAGCCAGUCGAGUGAGUGAGAAAGAGAGAGAGGGAGAGAUGUAGAAAAUGAGGAAGGGACAUUUUGUAUGCAAUGGAACAUGCUUGUGCCUUACUACAAGUACUACUUUUUGAAUGGUAACCUUGAUUUGAAGCGGCUCCCAAGGAAGGCUGGGCAUCACUCAUUU